rnacentral:tRNA from 1 species
GGAGAGGUGGCUGAGCGGUCCAUAGCGAGGGGUUGCUAACCCCUUGAGUUGCAUAAACUCACGUGGGUUCGAAUCCCACCCUCUCCG